AUUUAUAUAAUAUAUUUAGUAUAUUUGAUUUCCAAUCAAAAAGUUUAAUAAUUUAAUUUUAAUAUAAAUA
rnacentral:tRNA from 1 species